GAUGGUUACUAGGUGACUCCGCCCGACCCCGCCUCCUGCACGUUUUCUUGCUUUAGGUUUUUGGCUUCACCUCCUAGUGGGUCUUUUUAGAAGGAAUAAUCAAUCAAACCUGAGGCUGGGCAAAUGAAAAGAUGAGGAAAUGAGGAACCGGUGUUGUCUGGUUGGAGCUGGAUUGAUUGGAGGGCUUUAUUUACCGAGUAAGGACGGGAAAAGGGCGGAUUUGAGAAAGAGGAUAAUCACACCCCGGCCACGCGGACGGAAGUGGGAAUCUGGACCAGUGGCAAGGGUCAAGGGUUGAAGAUUGAAAUUUGGCAUAGAGAUCAACCAAGAGACCAGGAUAAAGUGGUUGGAGGAGGCAUAAGAACCAUAGGCUGAAGAAGACAAUGGAGACGGGGAAAUGUGUUACGGAGAGAUUGGAGGAGAAAGGGUUCUAGGGUAAGCAAAGAUCUGAGAGCUGACUUGCUUCCUUGAUGUGUUUAUCACGCAGUUUAUCACCCCAUCAGCAGCCCUGGGGAUAGUGGUAUGGCCCAUUUUCAUAGAAUAAACUUGUCUCAACUAGUGUAGAAUAUACAAAAGUCCCCAGGGUGUCUCAGAAUGCCACAGUGGAAGGUAAAAGGAGCAGAGAAUCACUUACCGCAGACUGUCUUAUGCCAUUCAUUCUUCUCCAAGAAGAUCUGAUCUGAAAGGGGCAUAAAUGGCGCGGCGCCCUUUCCCCAGCCCCAUCAUACAGUCCCAUAACCGAGAACACAUCAGAUUGCUACGGGGUCUAGCCACAAUUGCCUUUAUUGAUUAGUACCAUGCACAGUCUCCUGCAGGUGCUAAGUUCAGGAGAAAGACCCAUGACCAGCUGCAGCCCGAGCUUCCAGAGACAUUCAGCAAGGUGGUCUGUGUGUUUGUGUCUAAGUGUUCAACUACGUGCUCUGCUUAUCUCCCCCAGCUCACCCCAGAUCCGCUCAUUGAGCCCCACACCACUCUCUGGCUUACUCUACCAAGAACUCUUAACUCUCCUCCACCUGGCUCUCCCCCUGUCCUUCAAGACCAGCCUCCAAGUCAGCCUCUCUCUGAUAAGCUUUGUCGAUCGCUCUACUAUCUCCAUGACCCUCUGUCCCUAAUACAGUUUUCAUCUAAUACAUCUGUCUUGUUCUCUGAGGUUUGUGCUUUUAAGCUUCAGCCCUCAGAAUCUGCAUCUAAGUAGCCUUUCGGCUCUAGGGAAUGUUCAGGGUGAGGUUGUGAGCACAGCUUGGUGCAGAGUUAGGAUGAAGAGUCAUAUGUGUAUUUAUAGUUUCUGAGUCUCAGGGGGGCUCUGCAGUGUGUACUAGAAGCUUGAAUUUUCUGUGGCCAUUCAUUUAGGCAGACCAUAUUGAUUAUGUACCUGCAACAGAAGUUUUAUUUUUGAGUUAAUCAGAGAGCUCUGUAUACUCGCUCUAUGCAUCUAUGGGUGUACCUAGUCAUUGUUCUCUGUGUACUGUACGGGCAUCUGAAACAUCCUUGUAGUGUCCAUGUUUUAUGUACAUAGAAACACAGGAACUGCAGAUUCUAUGUGUUGUGUCUGGGCAAACAAAAUUCAGAUUUAGAGCCAGAGGACAAUGGACUGGCAGAAUUCCCUAACCUGUCACUUGAUUGGAUCUUCCUCCAAAUUAACCAUCCAAGCUCUGGACUUCAGUGCCCAUUCUUAUAAAAUGGGAAGAAUAUCAAUCGUCUGUUCUCUUUGGCCUCUGUGACAGAAGCAAGAUGUCAAAAAUGAGCAUCAUCCUUUGGAAGGCAUCACAAUAAGGCACAAACCUCGGCGCUGCCUCUGUGGCUCUAAGGCGACCACCUUCAGAAGUUGACCUGUGGAGAAUGUGGCUGUCCUACCAAGUGUAAGAGGAAGUAUAACGGGAGCGCCAAGGCCAAGAGACCAAACACUACUGGGGACUGGGCGGUCAGGAACAUAAAUUUGUCUGUCACAGAUUCAGACUCGGAUUCUGUGAUGGAGCAUCCCCAAACAGGGCAGCCACUGCAGCAGUCUGUUCAUCUUGAGGAUUUUCUACCAGUCUAGUUGCAAAGGCUUUUGAAAAAUGGGAAGAAUAAUACUUGAUACAUCU
rnacentral:lncRNA from 1 species